AUUGAACGCUGGCGGCAUGCCUUACACAUGCAAGUCGAACGGCAGCACGGGAGCAAUCCUGGUGGCGAGUGGCGAACGGGUGAGUAAAGUAUCGGAACGUGCCCAGUCGUGGGGGAUAACGUAGCGAAAGUUACGCUAAUACCGCAUACGAUCUAUGGAUGAAAGCGGGGGAUCGCAAGAACUCGCGCGGUUGGAGCGGCCGAUUUCGGAUUAGGUAGUUGGUGGGGUAAAGGCUCACCAAGGCGACGAUCUGUAGCUGGUCUGAGAGGACGACCAGCCACACUGGGACUGAGACACGGCCCAGACUCCUACGGGAGGCAGCAGUGGGGAAUUUUGGACAAUGGGCGAAAGCCUGAUCCGGCCAUGCCGCGUGCAGGAUGAAGGCCUUCGGGUUGUAAACUGCUUUUGUACGGAACGAAAAGGUUUGGCCUAAUAAGCUGAGCUCAUGACGGUACCGUAAGAAUAAGCACCGGCUAACUACGUGCCAGCCGCCGCAGUAA
rnacentral:rRNA from 1 species